ACCUCGGCGCGCUCCCGGCCGCUCGCUGGCUGUGGGGCCGCGGCGGCUCCUCUGCCGGGUCGCGCCGGAGGACGGGCCUUCGGGCGGCGGCUCGGGCGGCCUGCGGACGGACGCGCGGGCCGAGGCGCAGGCCCCGCGCCCGCCGUCUCCCCCUCCCGCCGGGCCCCGGGCCCGCGCCAUGGCCGCCUCGCCGGGCUCCGGCAGCGCCAACCCGCGGAAGUUCAGUGAGAAGAUCGCGCUGCACACGCAGCGGCAGGCCGAGGAGACGCGGGCCUUCGAGCAGCUCAUGACCGACCUCACCCUGUCGCGGGUCCAAUUUCAGAAGCUUCAGCAGCUCCGCCUUACGCAGUGCCACGGAGGAUCCUUACCAAAUGUGAGCCAGCUGCGGAGCAGCGUGCCAGAGUUCCAGCCGUCCCUGCACCAGGCUGAUAGCGCACGGGGGACCCGCCACCAUGGGCUGGUGGAGAGGCCGGCCAGGACCCGCUUCCACGCGCUCCACCGACGGUCUGGGGACAAGCCGGGACGACAGUUUGAUGGUAGUGCUUUUGGAGCCAGUUACUCCUCACAGCCUCUGGAUGAGAGUUGGCCAAGGCAGCAGCAUCCUUGGAAAGAAGAAAAGCACCCUGGGUUCAGGCUGACAUCUGCACUGAACAGGACCAAUUCUGAUUCCGCCCUUCACACGAGUGCCCUGAGUGCCAAGCCCCAGGACCCCUAUGGAGGAGGGGGCCAGUCGGCCUGGCCUGCCCCAUACAUGGGUUUCUGUGAUGGUGAGAACGACGUACACGGGGAAGUGCUAUCUUUCCCUGGCCCGCUGAAAGAAGAGAAUCUGCUAAAUGUUCCCAAGCCUCUGCCAAAACAGCUGUGGGAGGCCAAGGAGAUUCAGUGCCUGUCCGGGCGCCCUCGGUCCUGUGAUGUUGGAAGCGGCAGUGCUUUUCCACACAACGGCCAAAACAUAGGCCUCUCCCCCUUCCUGGGGACCCUGAAUACCGGGGGGUCGCUGCCAGACCUAACCAACCUCCACUAUUCCGCGCCCCUGCCGGCCUCACUGGACACCAGUGACCACAUCUUUGGUAGUAUGAGUGUGGGGAACAGUGUGGGCAACCUGCCAGCCGCCAUGACUCACCUGGGCAUAAGAAGCUCUUCCGGCCUCCAGAGCUCUCGGAGCAACCCCUCCAUCCAGGCCACGCUCAGCAAGACUGCACUUUCGUCCUCCCCGAACAGCCACCCACAGACACCCGCGCCCAGCGCCUCUGCCCUUCACCCUUCCCUCCGGCUCUUUUCCCUCAGCAACCCGUCUCUCUCCACCACGGCCCUGAGCGGCCCCUCUCGGCGGCGGCAGCCCCCGGUCAGCCCCCUCACGCUGUCCCCCGGCCCCGAAGCGCAUCAGGGUUUCAGCAGACAGCUGUCGGCCACCAGCCCGCUGAACCCCUAUCCCGCCGCCCAGAUGGUGUCCUCAGAUCGAAGCCCGCUCUCCUUCUUGCCCACAGACGCUCAAACCCAGGUGUCCCCGCCGCCCCCUUACCCCACCCCCCAGGAUCUCCCCCAGCCCCUCCUGCAGCAGCCCCAUGCCCAGGAGCCCCCUGCUCAGCAGCCGCAGGUGGCCUCAUCCCUGCCUCCUUCUGGCUUCCAGCUCCUCUCCACCCAGGGUUCACCUGUGACCAACUUCUUCCCGGAUGUGAGCUUUGACCAGCAGUCCAUGAGGCCAGGCCCGGCCUUUCCUCAACAGCUGCCCCUGGUGGAACAAGGUCCGCGAGAGCAGGACGCGUUUCACUUGAGACCAAACCUGUAUUCCAACUGCGGGAAUUUCCCAAACACCAUCCUGACAGAAGACUCGAGUACCAGCCUGUUCAAAGACCUCAGCAGUGCGCUGGCGGGCAUGCCCGAGGCCAGCCUACACACGGACACUCCAUUUCCUCUGGAAGAAGAGCUCCAGAUCGAACCCCUGAGCCUGGACGGACUCAACAUGCUAAGUGACUCCAGCAUGGGCCUGCUCGACCCCUCUGUUGAAGAGACGUUUCGGGCUGACCGACUGUGAACAGAACAGACCAGGACCAGAAUUCUUUUCUGAAGGCGCCGAAAUAGGACGGCACGGAAUGGAGCCAGCUACCCCCCCUGCCCACCGGGCUUGAGUCAUCUCGGGCCUCUGACACGGCAGGAGCCAACGCCAUGACUCCUGGCUUUGCGACGAGGUCCCGUCUCCUACGCCGUGGCUUAUUCUAGACCAGAGAGCCAUGCACGGCCUCACCGGCCUGCGGCGAGGGUUAUGCUCUGCAGGCCGGCUGACCUGACCGGGAGCCUCCCAACGACUCAGUCAUCACUGUGCCCGGUGCGUCUUUUUCUCGGUCCUCUAGUCGGUCCAUGUGUACAAGCAGAAAAGAACCCUGUGAUGGGGGCGGCAGUCGCCUGGUGCUGUGCCCAGAACCACUGAUGUCAGUCAACACUGAAGAUCGGGCCCGGAGCGGAGGCGGUUGGGGGCCACGGGCCUCCGGGAGCUGGCUCAGCCACGAGCAACGGUACCACAGCACCGCGAGGCCGCCUCCGCCCUCGCGCUUCCGGCCGGGCACCCGCCAGCUGGUGGCGGGCGGUCCCGGGGCACGGCAGACGGCCGUGAUCUCCGAGAUGCCUUAAUUCCAAUAUGAAGAAUUCUUCCCACGAUUUCAAGCACAGACCCGAGUUUCGCAAACUGAAUGCUCAUUUGUCUUCUCCAACCUCUGGACCGGGGUGGAGGCCGUGCUGGUUCCAACUGGAUCCUCUGACCGCCGAGUGCACGGAGACGUCUGUCCAGUGACCACUCAGCCGCGGACGCCAGACACUGCCCGCCACACGUCCCUCACGGCCACCUGAACGUUUUGUUUUUAGAAUAGCGCCCCGCUCGUUAUGAGACACUCGUGUCACACUCAAGAGUACAAACAGAAAAUGCUCCAGUGGACACCAGCGCCCCCAGAAUCCUCGGCGGCGACCUCUUUCUCCGUCCAUCUUCAGAGAGAAGGACAGAUGGACGGAUGGAAAUCUUUCCCAGACAAGGGCUCCUGCAAUGAUACACGCUCUUCGGGGGGUGAAAAGUACUUAAAUUCAACAGAACAAAAGGAAGCCUGGAUGUAACUGAAGACAUUGCCCAACCGCAAAUGAUUGUGCUUCUUAUGUUUCUCAAUUAUUUCCCUAAAAGGAAAGAAAAAUACCAAGAGGCUGGAUUCAUUCUUUAAACAUGUUUCCACUGUAGAUGGCAUCUCUUGACAGCCGGUGAUUUGGGACGAGGAAAUGAGCUCACCCGCUUCCUAUCCCCUUCCCCUCCCAGAAGCUAGUCUGGCUUCCCUCUGGUCUAUGAGCAGCUUGAGGCGAGGACGGUGUCUGACUCAAUUCUGACAACCCAGUGCCCAGUUGAAUGGCACCCAAAGUCAUCCUUUCCAUCUGCAACCUCUCCAGGACAGCCGGUCUCAGUGGAGAGCCCAAGGCCUCUGCUUCCAGGACACAUCUGCAAAUUUGGACAAGAAGGUUCAAAAGCCCCACACUUCGGUAUCCACUGCCAGGGAAAACACUCAGAGCACAGCUGCCCUCACCUGGGAACAUUGGGACAACGGCCUCUUUGAUAGGCUAAGGAAUGGAAACAGGGAGACGACCUGGAACCGAGGGGACCGGCCAGUCUGGCCAGGGUGCAGGGGUCAUCCUCAGCUCUUUCCCGGUUCCAGAGCCUCAGGACUAACCUCAGAGGAUGCUUAGUCUCCACCUGCUCAAAGCCGGGCCUCGUGAGUACCGACUCUUCCUUAACCAGUUUCCACAGGGGCUGCGUUUCCCCUCAGCAAGCCCUGCACCUUGCCAGGGCCGGGGUUACUGAUGGGGGAGCCUCGCAAGCCGGGACCUCCCUUCCCGGAAGCCAGGCCAGCCCAGCCCCAGUCCCCUGGCCGCUCUUGCUUGAUCCAUCUGGCCGAUCGGACGUUCUCUCCUGGGAACCCGAAGCUUGAGUGGGAGAGACACAGAGUCCGGGUGUCAUUGAAAUUGAGCCACAUUCACGGCAGUGCCCCAGAGGGGAGGCUUCCACCGAGGCCCCCGAGCAGCUAGCAGUGUGCCUGCUUGUUCGCCUGUUCCUCCAAGCCUGUGCAGCCCCACUAACCUCAAAAGUCCCUGGGAGUCCCCGGGAGUGAGGACUUCAGUGGCCAGCUCGCAAAGACCGAACUCUUGAGGCGUAGUGUGGGAAUCACUGCAGCUCUGGUCCCCCCAGCCGGGGUGGCCGUCCUGCCCACCCCCCCAACCCUCCUCCCGGCUCGUGUUGCUGGCCCUGCCUUCUGGAUCAGGUGGUGGUGGUGGGAGCUGGCGAGACGUUUCACUUCCUGCUGCAGGUAGCUGUCCCUGGCCUCGCUCCGGGGAAUUCCCAGUGACACAUUGUCACACACCUCUAGCCAUCACAGAGAGUGCUGUCCAGUGCCCCACCUCCCUGCCAAGGCCUGGCACAGAUGAGUGUCCCACAGGCCUGGGGUGGGCUGGCUGCUUGGGUGCAGCAGCAGCGAUCAGAUACCUUACCGAAGGGCUUUCCAGAAGCUUUAACGUGCCAACCCACCUCCAGGAGGUUGAUGUGGUAGGGCAGCAUUUCUCAAGCUUAUUUAACCCUGAAUCCUGUGUUCUGGGCCCACCUUGUGAGCCGGAAGUUCUAUGGAACCUGCUGGGAAAGGCGUGGAAACAGGUAGGGAUGGGUGAGGGCAGGAUGCAGGGGGGAAUUAGAGACUUUGAAAGGACCAGACGAAGAGAGGGGAAAGGAUGCAUCCAACAGGGAGAAAGAGCUCAAGAGGAGGAGAAGGCACCCAGCAUUUCCGACAUGCCCGUGGGCCCAGGCUCCAAGAAGCCUGAGAGAGGCCUCUGACCAGUCCGUGAAUAUUAUUAUUACAUCUACUGGUUACCAAUGUUAAUAAAAACAAGCGACCACCCCAGAAGCCGCACCUGAAACUUGAAUAGGAAAUGGAGAUGGGCUGCUGCCCGUGAAGAGCGCCCCCUGGUGUUCUCUCGCUGCCUCUACAAACCUUUACGGGCACCUGUCGUGGGACUUGCUGGCCGGCAGCCUCUGGUCCACAGCUGAUUUUUUUUUUUUCUUUCUUUCUCCAAUUCAAAAUAGUCUGCCUGGUCGUCUCGUUUGUGUGAAUGUGAGUGUGACUCAGUAGAUUUUUUUCUUUUUUUGGUAAAAUGAUCAUUAUCACUUCCAGACCUGAAAACUUGGGAGAAAAUUUUAAAAAUAUUGUUUUUGGUUUUUUUUAGUAUAGUUGACACACAAGAGAAAACCAAAUUUAAAACCACAAGAAACCGUAAGAGAAAUAAGUUGUACAAUUACGUAAGGAUUAACGACCGAGAGAUUGAAUCAAGAUGGCAGCUUUGCAAAGCUGCCCAAUUCCAGCCCAACCCUCUAAACGCGACCAGAGAUACGUAUUUAAAGUCCCUGUCGUGGGGCUAGAAACUACAGAACGAUAUCCUUAGUAUCAGAAAUUAUGAGGAAUAAAGGAUGCUGGAAAGUGAAAGGCAAAUAGAUGAGACCGAGUCGAAGGAAAAAAAUCUAACCUCCAAUGUUUAGGUAAAGAUGCCUGUAAGAGAGAGGCUGGCUGCAAGGGUGUACCAGGUGUGGGGAGUGGGGUCCAGGGAGCUGACAAGGUGACAGGCGGGUGCGGUUGAGGGCUUGCUCCUCCCCCAUCCCCUGGGGGAGCUGGCGACCAGCAGCUGGCGACCCAUGCCUCUGGCAGACAGCAGAGAGAUAAGGACAAACUGGGGGACCAGGAUGGGACACAGGGCUCAUUUCCUUUGUAAACAGUGAGCCCUCUAUCAAUAAGAUAAAGGCCAACACCCAACUGAAAAACUGGGAUCAAGAUAGAAUCAGGCAGUUCGUGGAAAAUGAAACAUACAAGUAACAAAUAUCCAUAUGAAAAGAUUCCGGACCUCACUCGUCAUUAAAGAAAUGCUAAUUAAGACAAGGAGAUACAUGCGGCUCAUUUUUUUUU